rnacentral:rRNA from 1 species
CUACGGGACGCACCAGUGGGGAAUAUUGCACAAUGGGCGGAAGCCUGAUGCAGCCAUACCGCGUGUGUGAAGAAGGCCUUAGGGUUGUAAAGCACUUUCAGUCGUGAGGAAAGGGGUGUAGUUAAUACCUGCAUCCUGUGACGUUAGCGACAGAAGAAGCACCGGCUAAUUCCGUGCCAGGCAGCCGCGGUAAUACGGAAGGUGCGAGCGUUAAUCGGAAUUACUGGGCGUAAAGCGCGCGUAGGUGGUUCAGUCAGUCAGCUGUGAAAGCCCCGGGCUCAACCUGGGAACUGCACCUGAUACUGCUGGACUUGAGUACGGUAGAGGGUAGUGGAAUUUCCUGUGUAGCGGUGAAAUGCGUAGAUAUAGGAAGGAACACCAGUGGCGAAGGCGACUACCUGGACCGAUACUGACACUGAGGUGCGAAAGCGUGGGGAGCAAACAGGAUUAGAUACCCCAGUAGUC